rnacentral:rRNA from 1 species
GACGAACGCUGGCCGCUUGCCUAACACAUGCAAGUCGAACGGAGCUUGCUUGUCACAUCCUUUCGGGGUGACGAUUUGUAAGCUUAGUGGCGAACGGGUGAGUAACACGUGAGUAACCUGCCCCAGAGUGGGGGACAACAGUUGGAAACGACUGCUAAUACCGCAUAAGCCCACAGAACCGCAUGGUUCUGGGGGAAAAGGAGCAAUUCGCUCUGGGAUGGACUCGCGUCCGAUUAGCUGGAUGGUGAGGUAACGGCCCACCAUGGCAGCGAUCGGUAGCCGGACUGAGAGGUUGAUCGGCCACAUUGGGACUGAGACACGGCCCAUACUCCUACGGGAGGCAGCAGUGGGGAAUAUUGCACAAUGGGGGAAACCCUGAUGCAGCGACGCCGCGUGGAGGAAGAAGGCCAUCGGGUUGUAAACUCCUGUCGUAAGGGACGAUAGUGACGGUACCUUACAAGAAAGCCACGGCUAACUACGUGCCAGCAGCCGCGGUAAAACGUAGGUGGCAAGCGUUGUCCGGAAUUACUGGGUGUAAAGGGAGCGCACGCGGGUCUGCAAGUUGGAAGUGAAACCCAUGGGCUCAACCCAUGAACUGCUUUCAAAACUGCGGAUCUUGAGUGGUGUAGAGGUAGGCGGAAUUCCCGGUGUAUCG